rnacentral:rRNA from 1 species
GACGAACGCUGGCGGCGUGCUUAACACAUGCAAGUCGAACGGAAAGGCCCUGCUUUUGUGGGGUGCUCGAGUGGCGAACGGGUGAGUAACACGUGAGUAACCUGCCCUUGACUUUGGGAUAACUUCAGGAAACUGGGGCUAAUACCGGAUAGGAGCUCCUGCUGCAUGGUGGGGGUUGGAAAGUUUCGGCGGUUGGGGAUGGACUCGCGGCUUAUCAGCUUGUUGGUGGGGUAGUGGCUUACCAAGGCUUUGACGGGUAGCCGGCCUGAGAGGGUGACCGGCCACAUUGGGACUGAGAUACGGCCCAGACUACUACGGGAGGCAGCGGUGGGGAAUAUUGCACAAUGGGCGGGAGCCUGAUGCAGCAAAGCCGCGUGCGGGAUGACGGCCUUCGGGUUGUAAACCGCUUUCGCCUGUGACGAAGCGUGAGUGACGGUAAUGGGUAAAGAAGCACCGGCUAACUACGUG